AAUGAACGCUGGCGGCAGGCCUAACACAUGCAAGUCGAACGAAGCCUUCGGGCUUAGUGGCGGACGGGUGAGUAACGCGUGGGAACGUGCCCCUUGGUACGGAAUAGCCCCGGGUAACUGGGAGUAAUACCGUAUGUGGUCGAGAGACGAAAGAUUUAUCGUCAAGGGAUCGGUCCGCGUUGGAUUGGGAAGUUGGUGGGGUAAUGGCCUAAAAAACCGACGAUCCAUAGCUGGUUUGAGAGGAUGAUAAGCCACACUGGGACUGAGACACGGCCCAGACUCCUACGGGAGGCAGCAGUGGGGAAUCUUAGACAAUGGGGGAAACCCUGAUCUAGCCAUGCCGCGUGAUCGAUGAAGGCCUUAGGGUUGUAAAGAUCUUUCAGAUGGAAAGAUAAUGACGGUACCAUCAGAAGAAGCCCCGGCUAACUCCGUGCCAGCCGCCGCCGUAA
rnacentral:rRNA from 1 species